GUUCUUCCAAUUCUUGAAAUUCUGUAUCAUGUUGAAGAAAGGAAUUCACACCAUUUUUACAUGGCUCUUAUAAUUUUGCUGAUCCUUACAGAGGAUGAUGGCUUCAACCGAUCCAUUCACAAAGUGAUAUUGAAAAAUAUCACUUGGUAUGCUGAGCGUGUCUUAACAAAGAUCUCACUUGGGAGUCUCCUGAUACUAGUUGUGAUAAGAACCAUCCAGUACAACAUGACACGGACAAGGG